GCUCCACAGCCAGUUUAAGCAACCUCCCCUCCUCAUUGCUGUGUCUCUUCGGGCAGGCCAGAUGGCUCUCUAUUUUUCGAAAGAAAACCAGACUGAGAUUCUAAGGUUCUCCUUGGACCAAGAGGCAAGAGGAGAUGACUUUGGGUGAUUGGAGACUCACCAGAUCACCAGACCCAGGGUCCUUUUCUCAGCCCACAGGCCAGAAGAGGGCAUCAGAUCCCGAUAUAGAUGGUUGUGAGCCACCAUGUGGUCGCCGGGAAUUGAACUCAGGACCUCUGGAAGAGCAGAUAGCACUCUUCACCACUGAGCCACCUCUCCAGCCCUACACUAAGCUUUUGAACACGGCCUCUGAGACUCCAGACCCAGUCCUCAUGCUUGCGUGUCACUUGACCGACUCUCCAGCCCCUCAUUCACCUUGUUGACUUACAGCUAUAGGACCUGAUAUUCCUGUCACAUCCUGGCUCAUAGGUCUUCUUUAUUUGGUUUGAUGGCUUCCGCACACCCUUUAAAAUACAACUUGAAUGCCUCCCUGACCCCUGUUCACGGCUUUGUGUUUUGUUUUUUUUCAAUCUUGUCCUCACGCCUCAGGGAGGGCCGUAUCUCACUGUUGAUGUGGCGUGUUGACAUCUAUGUGGCUCUCCCCUUCAGGCUGGCCAUUCAUAAAACU